rnacentral:pre_miRNA from 1 species
UUUAUACUCCCUCCGUCCCAAAAUAAGUGUCUCAACUUUGUACUAACUUUAGUACAAAGUUGUACUAAGGUUGAGACACUUAUUUUGGGACGGAGGGAGUAGUAA